AUUUAAAUAAUUUAAUAAAAAUAUUGAUUUGUGGAAUCAAAAAUAUAUAAUAAAUUAUAUUUUAAAUA
rnacentral:tRNA from 1 species